UUCUGAAGACAAUUUAUGUCAACAAGAUGGUCAAAGCUGGUUACAUAGUUAAAAUAUUGAUAGCAGAUUGGUUUGCCCAACGGAACCAUAGGAUUUGCAGCAAUAAAUAUGUAAUAAGGAAAAUUGGCUGCUACAAUAUUGAGAUGUGGAAAGCAGCUGGCAUGGAUCUUGACAGAGUAGAGCUUGUAUGGUUCUCAGAUGUGUUGGAAAGGCAUGCAUCUGAUUACUGGCCACUUGCCCUGGAUGUCUCCAGAAAAUGCACUCUAAAAAGAAUGGCAAGCUGUUGCACGGAAACAGCCCCAUAUGACCCGCGACUGCCUGCUGCUGUGAUAUUUUACCCAUGCAUGCAAGUUGCUGCUAUAUUAUGUCCGAAGUUGCAGGCGGAUAUAUGGCUCUUCAGCAUGGAUCAGCAAGAAAUUGUCAUGCUAACCAGAGAGUAUUGUGAAGACAUAAAAAGCGAAAGCAAACCAACUAUUAUGUUGCACAAUACACUACCUAAUUUAGUAGAUAAUCCUUAUAUUGUACUAAAGGACCCUUAUAACAUGAGGGAACCAAAAUGGAACAUCUUCAUGCACGAUAAGGAGUGCGCUUUGAAUGGAAAAAUAAGCAGGGCUGUCUGUCCUCCAAAAGUAGCAGUAUGCAACCCAUGUUUGGAGUACAUCAAAUAUGUUAUGUUCCCUUGGUUUGGGAAGUUUGAGGUAGCGCAGAAGGAACAGAGUGGUGUUAACAAGUCAUUUGAAUGCAUGGAAGAUCUUAUUGUUGAUUAUGAAAGUGGCGAUCUUGAUCCUCUCAACGUUAAGUUGGCUUUUGAAAAAGGAAUAUGCAAAAUAUUAGAGGGAGGAGCAAUCUCCACUCCUGGUGGCGGCAUCGAUCUUUAUCUAGAUGUAGUGGUAGCUCGUUCCUUAUUGUCUCAUGUGGCCAUGUGUUCCUUUGGCGAGCUUCUCUCGUAUCCCUAUGGUAGCAGCAGCUUGUCUUCGUCUUCCUCGACAGCAAGGUCGUCUUCGCGGGCCAAACUGUCCGGGUUGUGACUUUCUAACUCGUCUGGACCGCGCUGCCCGGUAUCCUCUAGAUAACAGGCGGCUCAUCUUCUUCUACUGCCACUUGUCGCUGGGCUACAUUAGCACGCCCUUGGGUGGUAGAAGCUACCCUGCAGGCUUGGCCCAUUGCAGCGGUAGCCCUUCCCGUCGUCGGCAGCUUCCCCAGAUCAGAGCUUGUUGCUGCUCUUUAUCCAGCGUCAUCGCCAGCCCGUGCAUAUCAAUAUAUCAUCACCAGCUCCCGGAACCGUCCUGCUGAUGCUGGUGUGUCGCAGCCGCUGCCACACACCAGAGGAAGAGCUGACUGCAAGUUGCGGCGCUAUCACUUGUACUGGGUGUCGGGCCUUGCUGCGAUGUUGAUGCUGGCAUGUUGGUACCUGCCUGAACAGCAAUGCCGAAGCCCAAGCUCUAAUUAUUGACCUUAUGGGUCAUAUCAGGCGAAUAGAGUCCGUAGAUAUCCAUGAGUUUCACUGGUAGAACAGAAGUUAUCUGAUCCUG